rnacentral:lncRNA from 1 species
AUGUUUAAUGUAGGUGAAGAUGUGAUGAGACUGAAUAUUACUGUCAGCUGUCCCUCUUGGGCUUCAAGACAGAUGGACACACUCAAACCCUGGCCUGCAAAAUACAAAGCUUCCUCUUCAGCUUGCUGGAAGGACGUCUUAACUCUCGGUAAAGGGUCGCUAAAACAGCAACUAACAUUCACCCACCAGCUUAGAAAAGGAAAUGAGGUGUUCACUCCCAAGAGUUCACCAAGCUUCUUUUUAGUGGCAACCCUUGGAGAGUGGCUGUAAGCGGCAGACAGAGGCCCCGCGAGUCCCUCCGGAUCCCAGUGUGCUGAGAGGCCGAGGCCAGCUCCCAUUAGCAGAUGAGAAUGGGCGAUUGGUGGAUGGACAGACGGGUGGAUAUGCAGACGGAUGGAGGGGGAAUGGGUGGGUAACUUAACGGACGAGACAACUGUUGGGUUUCAUGGAUGUCUAAGAAGCAUUGUCUACACACCCAACAGCCUUAAACGCCCCCUCUCCAGCAGGCACUCAAGGAAAUCAUUGCUCUGGGUUUCACUGUCUGGAAUCCGCCUCUCCAGCAAGCAUUUUCCUUGUCCCCACCGCAGCCACCGCCUCCAGUCCCCCACCCUUCUGGCUUGUUAUCAGCUCCGUGCCGUCUCUUUGCAUUAAAGUGACAAGCAGUCGCGCAAAGCUGACGACAGGAGGCUGGGGCUGUAAUUCGCACUGACAUUCACUGGUGCGAUCCACUUACUGCUUGGUAAGCCAAACAGGAGAUUUGUCUGAUUUUGAUCCCGGGAAGAGAAGUGACGGCGUCGCUCUCCUCCUGCCACUCAAAUCGAGGCACCAGGCUGGUCCUCAGGCCCGGGGCCGGGCUGACGACGCCCACCUGCACAACGUGGGUCUUCGGGAUCCCCUUCCCUUCCUGGGGCUGGAAUUCCCUUUCAGACCUGACAUGUGGCGAACACGGGAAGGGACGAGGGCCGUGGUUGGUGGCGGGUGGAUCCCGUGUAUUCUCUCAGCGGGGGGCAGUGCAGUUCACAGGCUGCCAGGGGCCUCCAAGGCCUCUCCGGGGGAAUUAAGGGCCCCUGGGAUGUCAGACCCCAGCUGACAGUACCUCAGCAGCCCUCUUUCUGCCUCCCCACCCCCUGUCUUUAACGUGUCCCCGCCGCGAGAGAAAUGCCACGGAAUGAGAGGCUCACAGGAAGCCACAGCAAGGAGUCAGCUUGUGGGCACUGCCUGCUACAUCAUCUACAAGGCCCCGUGUGACAUUUUUCAGACACAAAACUUGACGCCCUGGGAGGUUAAGUGACUUGCCCAUGAAAAUGUGGAACCCCCUGUUCAAAAAAAGCAGGAAAACUAUCAUUAAAGGGACUAAGAUAGAAGGCUUUUACCUUUCUUCUGUGGCCUCUGAGUUGUCGUGAUGUUUUUUAUUCGCCAUAUAAUGCUGUUCUAAGCAAAAAAACCCAAAACACAAAAAAACUAAGUAAGUGAAUAGAUGGGUGAAUGAAUAAAUAAAUGAAUAAAAUAUUGAUUAUUAGCA